GACGAACGCUGGCGGCGUGCUUUACACAUGCAAGUCGAACGAUGAUGCCCAGCUUGCUGGGUUGAUUAGUGGCGAACGGGUGAGUAACACGUGAGUAACCUGCCCCAGACUCUGGGAUAACUCCGGGAAACCGGGGCUAAUACUGGAUAUCAACUUUUGCCUGCAUGGGUGGUUGUUGAAAGGGUUUCUGGUCUGGGAUGGGCUCGCGGCCUAUCAGCUUGUUGGUGGGGUGAUGGCCUACCAAGGCGAUGACGGGUAGCCGGCCUGAGAGGGUGACCGGCCACACUGGGACUGAGACACGGCCCAGACUCCUACGGGAGGCAGCAGUGGGGAAUAUUGCACAAUGGGCGAAAGCCUGAUGCAUCGACGCCGCGUGAGGGAUGACGGCCUUCGGGUUGUAAACCUCUUUCAGUAGGGAAGAAGCCGCUUGCGGUGACGGUACCUGCAGAAGAAGCGCCGGCUAACUAUGUGCCAGCAGCCGCGGGAAUACGUAGGGCGCAAGCGUUGUCCGGAAUUAUUGGGCGUCAAGAGCUCGUAGGCGGUUUGUCGCGUCUGCUGUGAAAUCCCCCACGCUCAACUUGGGGCGUGCAGUGGGUACGGGCAGACUAGAGUGCGGUAGGGGAGACUGGAAUUCCUGGUGUAGCGGUGGAAUGCGCAGAUAUCAGGAGGAACACCGAUGGCGAAGGCAGGUCUCUGGGCCGUUACUGACGCUGAGGAGCGAAAGCAUGGGGAGCGAACAGGAUUAGAUACCCUGGUAGUCCAUGCCGUAAACGUUGGGCACUAGGUGUGGGGUCUGUUUCCACGGAUUCCGCGCCGUAGCUAACGCAUUAAGUGCCCCGCCUGGGGAGUACGGCCGCAAGGCUAAAACUCAAAGGAAUUGACGGGGGCCCGCACAAGCGGCGGAGCAUGCGGAUUAAUUCGAUGCAACGCGAAGAACCUUACCCAGGCUUGACAUGCACGAGAAGCUACUUGAGAUGGUGGUCUUCUUGGAUACUCCUGCACUCGUGGUGCAUGGUUGUCCUCCGCUCUUGUUGCGAGAUGUUGGGUUAAUUCCCGCAACGAGCCUCAUCCCUCUCCCUCUGUUGCCAUUACGUGAUGCUGGGGACUCCUACGAAACUGCCGGGGUCAAACCUCUAGGAAUGCGGGGAUCACCUCAAAUCCUCAUGCCCCUUUUGUCUCGUUCUUCCCCCCCGCUACAUUGGCCUGCACAAAGGCUUGUAUUCCUCUCGGUUGAGCACAUCU
rnacentral:rRNA from 1 species